rnacentral:rRNA from 1 species
GACGAACGCUGGCGGCGUGCUUAACACAUGCAAGUCGAACGGAAAGGCCCUGCUUUUGUGGGGUGCUCGAGUGGCGAACGGGUGAGUAACACGUGAGUAACCUGCCCUUGACUUUGGGAUAACUUCAGGAAACUGGGGCUAAUACCGGAUAGGAGCUCCUGCUGCAUGGUGGGGGUUGGAAAGUUUCGGCGGUUGGGAUGGACUCGCGGCUUAUCAGCUUGUUGGUGGGGUAGUGGCUUACCAAGGCUUUGACGGGUAGCCGGCCUGAGAGGGUGACCGGCCACAUUGGGACUGAGAUACGGCUCAGACUCCUACGGGAGGCAGCAGUGGGGAAUAUUGCACAAUGGGCGGAAGCCUGAUGCAGCAACGCCGCGUGCGGGAUGACGGCCUUCGGGUUGUAAACCGCUUUCGCCUGUGACGAAGCGUGAGUGACGGUAAUGGGUAAAGAAGCACCGGCUAACUACGU